AUUGAGGUGAAAUGAUUGAGGAUAAAGCCGUGAAAAGGGGGCUGUAGUGAUGGGCUUCAGUGUCCAUUGAAGUGAGGGAAUAAUCUAUCCGAGGGUGUGUUAGCGCUGACCAUCAUUUAAGUGGCUUGAAAGGGUCAGCGUGGGGACCGAGAUGUGGGAGCGAUCGGGACGGCCAUUACAGUCAUUCCGCUUCACUGUGCGAGGUACCGCCGCCUGAUUGAUGCCUGAGAGAGGAUUUGACUCUACUGUGGUCUACAGGAGAGGAUGUGGAGAAGCACAUAUUUCCACAGUCAGCCCAUCAGCUCCUUUAAGCUCUCUAUCACCGCACUUGUUCAUGACUGCUGACUCUCACACAACUACUCUCUCUUCAUCUUUACCCAAAACAGACUCAGACCAAGAAAUCAAUGGGACAAAGAGCCGUUCCGCCCAACAGAAGAAGCUGAUGUAAUUAAAUCCAUCUGCAGAGUAAGAGAAAAUAACGGAUAGGAAAGCUUGUGAAGUGCAGGGGAAGUCCCUGGAGGUAUAAUUAACAGUAUCUACUGUUAGUAUCUGUGCUUCUUCUUCCCUCGACGCUCACUACAGUACAGACUGACGCAGAGGCAAAGCCCCAGAACACUUUCUGCCAGAGGGUUUGCUUCGAGAGACUCUCCUGUUGUAUGGAGUGUGGAUUAAACGGCAACAUACAGAGCCAAUAAGAAACAUUGAAUCAAAGGAGAUUUAAUGUGGCUUUUUUUUUCUGAUCAUUGACCCCUUUAAUAAAAUCCAAUGGAAAAGUCCCAUUUGCCUCUUUUUGUUAUAUCACAGUAAGAAAAGCUGCUUCAAUGUCCUGGAUAAUGUUCAUGCUUUUCCUACAAUGACAAGUCAACAUGUCUGCUGUGAAAAGGGCCUAUUGGUUUUAGAAGUCACAUAAUUAGUUCAAUGAGAUCACCUGUGCGUGCAGUAAAGGGGUUUCCGUUGAUUGUAGUAUCUGUACGCCUGGACCAGGAGGGUCUGAGUUCUGCUGAGUCAGUAUUGAGGUCAAUCCUGCACCACGAAGUCAAAGGAACAAGCAACUGUGCAAAGAUUGGAUUGUAAAGCAAAAAGUCAAAGGAUACAAGACAGUUUCCGAGUUACAGAGCAUCCCUGGGAGUUAAAUCAAUAAUUCGCAACACAAUUCCACUGGACUGUUUCCUGGCCUGUUCAGAGACAGGUGGUAAAAUGUUUAAUUAUAUAAAUGUUUACACUUUUUUGCAGGGAUGAAACAGACAAUCUAGAGGCUCAUUGUGCUAAAUUAGACGUUCUGUUAGGCUGAUUAUGUUACGUUGGGCAUAAAUGAAGGCUAGCUGUUUCCCCCUAUAUCCAGUCUUGAAGCUUACCCAAUGCAAGGUCAAGAAUGAACUUUCAUGCUAACCUAAAUUACUUUAUACUCUAAUAGUCUGGCCAUACUUGUGAGUGUAGAUGUAGCUUUGAACUGUCGGAAACAAGUAUUUUGUAUUCUGUGUGUAAUUAAUUUAGAUCACUUUGUAGAGCUCUUUUCUCACCACACUGAAUAUACAUUAAAGGCCCUGUAAGUAAACUCGGU
rnacentral:lncRNA from 1 species